rnacentral:lncRNA from 1 species
AAUUCAAAUGAAUUCAACACUUAGGUGUUGUGCCUCUACUUACAUGCUGUGUUGCAUUCAGGUGAACGGCCUCAACAUGCAGGGGGCGACCCACCAUGAGGCCGUCAGUGCCCUGAGGACGGCCGGCAGCUGCAUCAGCAUGAAAGUGCUCAGAGAAAGGCUGGUCCCUCGAGAAGGAUGUGAUUCGCAUCAGGCCCAGGAUCCUUCAGAUGGAACCGCAUUACAGCUCUGCAACAAGGAUGCAAGAGGCAAAGAGCCCAACACAGAGAGCCCAGAUUGUCCUUCCAAGAAGAUCGAGGCAGUUGUUUGUAACGGCAACAGCAUUUCCAAUCUGGAGAGCAAGCUGAGUGAGACUUCAGCCAAGCUCAAGCAGGAGGCAUUGACCAAAACUGAUUCACUUCAAGUUAGCAAGCACACAAUGACAAUCCCACGGAUCAUCCUCACUCAUCCCUCUACCUCAGAUGAAGACGUGGAGCUCCUGACACAGAGCCUUGGCAGAGAGCUUCUUCAUGACACUGGCAUUCCCAGGAGACGUAAAACAGAAAAAGGACCAAUCAAGGCCCCAUCCCCCCCCCCAGGGAUUGAGAGCUUCGCUGCCUGUAGCUCCCUGCGUGAACAUUGUUGCCCAA